GGGUGGGGGAGGGGCUCCGGUGCUUUGGCAGACAUCAAACUUCAGUGUCGGAAAGAGACCCUGCUACUUGUCCCCUACCCCACCCCCACCCACCCCACCCCACUUACCCUACCACCCAACAAACAGAAAUCAAAGAAGCUGUGUGGGAGUUAUGGUGGAAGCAUAACAGCAGUGAAAUUGAUUGAAUAGGUUCAAGUGGUUCUGCAGGUCUAGGUAGAUGGCGUGGACGGAAAAAGAUGUCGAGAAUGGAAAGGAAAGUGAGUCACUUGGUAACAAUGGUUUUCUGAAGGGAGGACAAUCUUCUUCUGGUUCCAAAGGUUCUCCUGGUAGAAUAAGUCAUGUAAAGAAGAUUUUUGAAGACAAGGAUGCCAUCACUUAUGCAAAUAUUCUUCGCUCUAGGAACAAGUUUGUUGAUGCACUUGCAAUCUAUGAGAGUGUGUUGGAGAAGGAUAGCAAGAGUAUUGAGUCUCUGAUUGGCAAAGGUAUUUGCCUGCAGAUGCAAAAUACGGGGAGGCUUGCUUUUGAAAGUUUUUCUGAAGCUAUCAAAGUGGACCCACAAAAUGCAUGUGCCCUCACCCAUUGCGGAAUUUUGUACAAAGAUGAGGGUCGCCUGGUCGAGGCUGCUGAGUCCUAUGAGAAAGCACUUAAAGCUGACCCCUCAUAUACACCAGCAGCAGAAUGCCUUGCGAUUGUAUUGACUGAUAUUGGAACCAGCCUGAAGCUUGCUGGCAACACUCAGGAGGGAAUUCAAAAAUACUAUGAAGCUAUCAAAAUUGAUUCACACUAUGCGCCUGCUUACUAUAACCUUGGCGUUGUAUAUUCAGAAAUGAUGCAAUACGAUAUGGCUCUUAAUUGCUAUGAGAAG
rnacentral:misc_RNA from 1 species